AUCCUUAUUGCAAAAUUUAUGUUGAAACGUGUCCAUAAAAUUUAUCUGAAAAACCUUAUCACUUCCCUUAUGAUCUACAGGCUGAAGUUGCACCAUCUGUUCCCUUCCCUGUUUAACUGAUGGAGACUGUUCCGCUACUAAAGUCUCCAGGUCCGAAAAUAGCAACGUCGCUAUCUGCAUGAGCCUCUCAAACUUAUCUAUAGC